rnacentral:rRNA from 1 species
UACGUAGGGUGCAAGCGUUAAUCGGAAUUACUGGGCGUAAAGCGUGCGCAGGCGGUUGUGCAAGACCGAUGUGAAAUCCCCGGGCUUAACCUGGGAAUGGCAUUGGUGACUGCACGGCUAGAGUGUGUCAGAGGGGGUAGGAAUUCCACGUGUAGCAGUGAAAUGCGUAGAGAUGUGGAGGAAUACCGAUGGCGAAGGCAGCCCCCUGGGAUAACACUGACGCUCAUGCACGAAAGCGUGGGGAGCAAACAGGAUU